AUGUGGAAGGAAGAGAAGACAAAAGAUUUGGCUCAUUCAUCUAUCAUGGAUACUUGUUCAACAGAUGAACUUUUCCUUUGCAUCCAUGUAGCACUAUUGUGUGUUCAGGAAAACCUGGAUGAUAGGCCAUUGAUGUCAUCUGUUAUGACCGCCCUAGAGAAUGGAAGUACCACACUUCCAACUCCCAGUCGCCCUGGCUAUCUUGUGCGGCGGAACACCGAAUUAGACCAAUUCAGAAAUAACAUUCAAAUCUUUGUGAAUUCUUUAUCCGUUACUGAAAUAGAUGGCCGGUGA
rnacentral:rRNA from 1 species